rnacentral:tRNA from 1 species
GGAGGGGUGCCAGAGCGGCCGAAUGGAACGGUCUUGAAAACCGUCGAGGUGAAAGCCUCCGUGGGUUCAAAUCCCACCUCCUCCGCCA